GCUUGUCUCAAAGAUUAAGCCAUGCAUGUCUAAGUAUAAACGACUUUAUACAGUGAAACUGCGAAUGGCUCAUUAAAUCAGUUAUAGUUUAUUUGAUAAUACCUUACUACUUGGAUAACCGUGGUAAUUCUAGAGCUAAUACAUGCUACACAACCCGACUUCUGGAAGGGUGGUACUGAUUAGAUACAAAACCAAUCCGGGCAACCGGUUCACUGGUGAUUCAUAAUCAUUUCUCGAAUCGUAUGGCUUUACGCUGACGAUGGUUCAUUCAAAUUUCUGCCCUAUCAACUGUCGACUGUGAUAUAGACGCUCACAGUGGUUUUGACGGGUAACGGGGAAUCAGGGUUCGAUUCCGGAGAGGGAGCCUUAAAAACGGCUACCACAUCCAAGGAAGGCAGCAGG
rnacentral:rRNA from 1 species